rnacentral:rRNA from 1 species
GAUGAACGCUGGCGGCGUGCUUAACACAUGCAAGUCGAACGAAGCACUUUAUUUGAUUUCCUUCGGGACUGAUUAUUUUGUGACUGAGUGGCGGACGGGUGAGUAACGCGUGGGUAACCUGCCUUGUACAGGGGGAUAACAGUUGGAAACGGCUGCUAAUACCGCAUAAGCGCACAGCAUCGCAUGAUGCAGUGUGAAAAACUCCGGUGGUAUAAGAUGGACCCGCGUUGGAUUAGCUAGUUGGUGAGGUAACGGCCCACCAAGGCGACGAUCCAUAGCCGACCUGUGAGGGUGACCGGCCACAUUGGGACUGAGACACGGCCCAAACUCCUACGGGAGGCAGCAGUGGGGAAUAUUGCACAAUGGGCGAAAGCCUGAUGCAGCGACGCCGCGUGAGCGAAGAAGUAUUUCGGUAUGUAAAGCUCUAUCAGCAGGGAAGAUAAUGACGGUACCUGACUAAGAAGCACCGGCUAAAUACGUG